AUCUUUGUCAUGAGGGAAAAGGCAGCUCCGUGCUCAGAAAUGGACAGAAGUCUAGCUGACGUUUCUGAGUUCACAUACAGCUUCUAAGCGAGAUAGGAUGUUGAAGAGGCAGUUGGCAGAGCAACAGCAGCCAGUAUUGGAAUUCUGGGACCGAGUCCUCCAUUUUUUUCAGACCAACAAAUCCAGAAGAGGAAAUGGGCUGCAUGGACCCAACGCCUAGGUGCUUCAGGAGACAAUGCUUAACCUUAAGCAGGCCACCCUCUGAUCUCCUCAAACUGUCUAAGGCUUUAUGAUGCAUGGUGCUCGCGCCUAUGUCCAAUCUGGAUGAAGUUGACAGAGGUAGAGAUCUUACCAGCAUCUAACCUGAGAUCCCUGCCUAGUCUUGAGAUGAGCAACUGUUUAAAAACCUGUGUCCACAAUCUAUUUGUGUGUAUCUGCAAAUGAAGGCAGACAACCUGAGAGAACCCAGGAAAACCAGUGGAAGAAUUUUCCAUUUACGAGCUGGAGAAAGCACCUAGAAACCUUGCUUUGGUUGUUGUUGGUGAAUGCAGCUACCACCCCUCAUUAACCAAGCCUGCCUUUUUAGCAAAUGGAGACCAUCACGGAAAAUCAUGACUGGAGAUCCACAGAUCCUGGGACAUCCAGCCCCAACAGAAACAUCUGCAACACAGCUUCUGUGUCUAUGGCUCAAGGAACAUCAUUGAAGAAGGAAUGGAAAGCCUCUGAGAGCCACAGUACCAGGAAGUAUGAUAGAAUCAAUCUCUCCUAGAAUUGGCUGCAUAAGCAAGACCAGAGCACCGCAUUAUCAAUGGGCAUGCUAACAUGGAACAGGGAAGUUUUUACAGACUCCCGUUCCUACAAAGGGCUAAAGGCAGCAAAUGACUCCUGGUAGAGGAAUUAGCCUCUCGUGUGGAUGAGUGUUCUUGUCCAAUGCAGAGAAGUCAUCCCUGAAA
rnacentral:lncRNA from 1 species